GUAAGGAUUGACAGAUUGANAGCUCUUUCUUGAUUCAGUGGGUGGUGGUGCAUGGCCGUUCUUAGUUGGUGGAGUGAUUUGUCUGGUUAAUUCCGAUAACGAACGAGACUCUAGCCUNCUAAAUAGU
rnacentral:rRNA from 1 species